rnacentral:tRNA from 1 species
CAGAAUGUAGCUUAUUUUUAAAGCUGUUUAUUUACAUUAAAUGGAAAAUUGUUUAUAUUCUUUCUGA